rnacentral:misc_RNA from 1 species
AUCAUUACUGAGUGCGGGCUGCCUCCGGGCGCCCAACCUCCCACCCGUGAAUACCUAACACUGUUGCUUCGGCGGGGAACCCCCUCGGGGGCGAGCCGCCGGGGACUACUGAACUUCAUGCCUGAGAGUGAUGCAGUCUGAGUCUGAAUAUAAAAUCAGUCAAAACUUUCAACAAUGGAUCUCUUGGUUCCGGCAUCGAUGAAGAACGCAGCGAACUGCGAUAAGUAAUGUGAAUUGCAGAAUUCAGUGAAUCAUCGAGUCUUUGAACGCACAUUGCGCCCCCUGGCAUUCCGGGGGGCAUGCCUGUCCGAGCGUCAUUGCUGCCCAUCAAGCCCGGCUUGUGUGUUGGGUCGUCGUCCCCCCCCGGGGGACGGGCCCGAAAGGCAGCGGCGGCACCGUGUCCGGUCCUCGAGCGUAUGGGGCUUUGUCACCCGCUCGACUAGGGCCGGCCGGGCGCCAGCCGACGUCUCCAACCAUUUUUCUUCAGGUUGACCUCGGAUCAGGUAGGGAUACCCGCUGAACUUAAGCAUAUCAU